rnacentral:rRNA from 1 species
GACGAACGCUGGCGGCGGGCUUAACACAUGCAAGUCGAACGGCAACGCCCUGCUUUUGUGGGGUGCUCGAGUGGCGAACGCGUGAGUAACACGUGAGUAACCUGCUCUUGACUUUGGUAUAACUUCAGGAAACUGGGGCUAAUACCGGAUAGCAGCUCCUGCUGCAUGGUGGGGGUUGGAAAGUUUCGGCUGUUGGGGAUGGACUCGCGGCUUAUGAGCUUGUUGGUGGGGUAGUGGCUUACCGAGGCUUUGACGGGUAGCCGGCCUGGGAGGGUGACCGGCCACAUUGGGACUGAGAUACGGACCAGAGUGCAACGGGGGGCAGCAGUGGGAAAUAUUGCACAGUGGGAGGGAGCCUGAUGAAGAAGCGCCGCGGGCGGGAUGACGGCUUUCGGGUUGUAAACAGCUUUCGCCUGUGACGAAGCGUGAGUGACGGUAAUGGGUAAAGAAGCACCGGCUAACUACGUG